CUUGUCUCCCCCUCCCCGCUCCCUGCCUCGCCACGGGGACCUCUGAUGGGAGAAGAAGACCAGGCCGGCCUGGGAGUUUCUGCUCCCAGCUCUGCCCUGACCUGACAGCGUCAGCGUCGGCGGGGUGGUCCAGUAGCAGGAGGCUGCGGGCCUUCUCGGAAUCGAUCUAGAACUGUGCGGUUCUCGGAGCAGAUGGUCUAGGAAGCCCCACGGCGAUCCCCUCCGCCGGGACACACAGCAGGAGUGUGGCUGCGGGACUCAGCCCCACUGGGUCACCCAGUGCUGACCUGUGGAACUUGCCUGUAGCGCGCUGGUUAUGAAAACACACCUCGGAAUUUUCCACCUACCGGGAACUGGACUGACCAGGCCUUUUGGUCCAGGUUCUGUGUCCUGCUGUGUGCCCUGAACCCUGCUCAUCUGAGAGACCUCGGAACCUCGGACCAUCGGAAGGCCACAAAUAGCCGUUUCUGGGCAAGCAAUCUUAUUUUCCAUGCGUAAUAUAAGGAGAGGAAGAAAAGAGUUAAGAGGAGCCAAAAAAGCUUUCCCCGUGAGGAUACCCACAACAAUCGGAGGCGGCGGGAAAGGCAGGGAGGAAGCAGGGGUGGACCCGGCUGUGAAAGUGAUCAGGGAAGCCGGAUCUGGCUGGGUCCUGGCAACCAAGCACCAAGCAGAGAGCCGCGGGCGGAUCCUUUUGUUUGGUAGCUUGUUUUGAACAUUGAGACUCCAGAAGGGAGAUAAACAAGUCUCUCUCUCUCUCUCUCUCUCUCUCUCUCUCUCUCUCUCUCUCUCUCUCUCUCUCUCUCUCUCUCUCUCUCUCUCUCGGAGGCAGGCCAUGCUCCGGGGUGUCGGAAACCAGGUGGUGAAACCAUCAGAGUCAGAAUUUCCACCUUCCUGAAGCGGGGGGACAGGGAAAGCAGCAUCAGACUGGCUUCCUGUGGGGUGUCCCCACCACGACCAAUGGUCUCCAGACGUGCCCCCACCUCUCCCGAUGUUCCCUUUCUCUCUGGGUUCCAGCCCUCCUCCCCACGCUGUCCCUUCACUUCGAGUACCGACCACCACAACACCAGCCUUUCUCUGAGAUGUCGCCUCAUCCAGUAUCAUCCUCUGCAUCUCUACUCUGUUGCUUGCCCCUGGUCAGGCGCCCCCGGGGGCUGCUUCUCUCACCCAUUCCCAACUGGGACAGAACUCUUUGUGCAGAAUGCCGGGAAGACAUGCUUUUGAGCUGAGACUUUCUGUGGGCCAUAGCUGGACCCUGGACUAUCCCACCAAAAAAUCCGUUAUGGAAGAAUAACGUGCAAUUGUCAGCAACAUGAAACAUCUGGUGUGUUACUAGGGGAAGACUUUCAUGGCAAAGAUAAGAAGAUUUCAGAAAAAAUACAUGCAGUCUGUGUUCAGGAUUAAAAAAUGCAACAUACUGAGUGUAAGAGAAUAUAUAGAACAUCUAUAUAUAGAAUGGGUAUAUAGUGUGUACAUAGGAUGUGAUGUAAAAUAGUUAAAGCUUUCAUCCACAAAUGAGGUUCCACUGAACACAGGAGCAGGAACAAGAUCCGGACGGCACACCCCUAAUUACCAAAUCUGGAAGCAAUGCACAUGUUGGGAUUAUUUAUCCUGUUUAGCAAAAGCAAUUGGUGAAGUGCAAAGUGGGAGAGAGUAGGGCAGAUGUUUAUUUGAAAACGAGUUUUCUGUUUUUUU